CCAGAGGAGUCACAUGCAGACCAGGGUCAGCACCAGUUGCCUUUUCAGACAAUGAGGUCCUGUGGCUGUCUGUGACCUUCUCCUUUGCAGCCUGUCUCUUCCCUGCUGCCCUUUCUGUAGCCCUCUGUCUCCUCCAGGGUGGACAGAAUGGCAUUACGAACUUGUGAGGAGCUGAAACACCACAGUUCACAUCUAAAGUGACUUCUAUACAAGUAGAAGAUCAUCUCAAGCUUGAAUCCACUGGUUCACCUUGUAUAACUGAACAAUGAAAUUCAGAUCUAGAUUCCAGCCUCUCCAGAUGUCCAAAUCCCUGAUUCCACCUUGGUCCAUCUCAGUGAGACUCUUGGAAAGGACCUUUUUUCUCUCUGAUGAACAGUGCUGGUCAAAUUAUCAAAGGUUCAUAUUUGUUCAUGGCACACACAGGACUUCAUUAUCAGAUGAGAGCUCUGGAUGGAAAAAGGUCUCCUCAGCUUUGUGUCAUCAAGUUGAGACAGUGCUCCCAGCCGAUGGCAGCUCUUCCCUAGCCCGAGUAGGGCUGGCUCAGUGAGGUCCCUUGGACAUUGCUGGAAAAUCCUGCAUGGCAGCAGUGAUCAGCACAUGAAUGAGGACGGAGUGUGCUGCUGCUGGCCAAUGAUCACAGCACUGAUGGAUUCAUUGCUCAUUUAGGAAAACAAACAAAAAGGUGUCAGGGAAUUAACAUGUGGACCCGGGGAGGAUCACAACACCCUCAACAAGCAGGGGAGCUGACUCCAAGAGAGGCAAUGAUGCUCAAGCCAUAUUUCCCUGAACUGUUAAGAAAGGCAAUUUCUAAAUUGAGAGGGACAUAACAUUAAAUCUGUUAGCACAAACUUCUGUUUCCCUCAUCCAACAAGAUCACUUUCACCAAUUCUUUGUAGUCACAAAGGGAAACCAAAGCGAAUUCUCUUGCUUGGGGAAAGGGGAACAGCUUUACUCAAAUACAAAUACCCACCACAGCAGAUGGAAGAUGAAGAAGUGGAUCUCUACAGCUUAGGCUGAAAAUCCCAAAGACUGGCAGAAGUGAGUAGCAUAGAACAAGGUGACCUCAGCUAUUCCAGCAUCAGGUCUUUGAUCAUACACUGGCAAGCAAGGCAAAGAAACCGUGUGUCUGAACCGAACCAGUGCAGGAAACUGGGUCCUCUCCCCUUGAGGGUUUGGCCUGGCAAUUAUGCCUCGAACGGCUUGUUCUGGGCCAGAGAAGAGGAGAGACUGUUCUUGACUUUGGGCCAGCUUCUGUUCUCGCUUACACCGGUAUAAAUCUAGAGUCAUUUUACAGACGUCAGUAGAACAACUGAGAACAGAAUUGGUGGCUGAAUGGAUCUACUUCCUCAGCCAACACUGGUGCACUGUCCAGAAGCUACAUAUGCAACUGUAACCACAGUAAAGUGAAAUUAAUCUGCAAAGAGCCAAA